GAUGAAGAACGCAGUGAAAUGCGAUACUUGGUGUGAAUUGCAGAAUCCCGUGAACCAUCGAGUCUUUGAACGCAAGUUGCGCCCGAAGCCUCGGCUAAGGGCACGUCUGCCUGGGCGUCACGCAUCGCGUCUCCCCCAAACCGCCAAGGCGGAGGGGAAGGAAGAUGGCUUCCCGUGCCUCACCCGGCGCGGUUGGCCUAAAUUUGGAGCCCGCGGCACUUAGCUCUCGCGGCGAUAGGUGGUGAACAAGGCCUUGGCCGUGCAAACAACCCGCUGCGAAGCUCUAUGUCACGUGCGCUCGUCGGACCCUUUGAAGUUGCCUUCGGUGACUUAAAACCUUUGCGACCCCAGGUCAGGCGGGGCUACCCGCUGAAUUUAAGCAUAUCAAUAAGCGGAGGA
rnacentral:misc_RNA from 1 species